AGUCGCAUGAGCGGCUUCAUGUAGAAAACCAGCCUAGAAGUUAUGCUUGAAAAUGGAAUGAGCAUGACCAAAAAAAGAAGAAAUGACUCUUUACGACCCUUUCUAUUGACCUUGACUAGGGCUGAUAUAGGAAAAAGGGGUAAAGUGCAUAAAGAAGAGAUUAUAAAAAGAAUAAUCAAGUCUUUUCGAUGUACUUCUGUGUUAGUUGUCAAGGGAUUCUGUGAUCGAAUGCCACGUUUCCUGAAGACUUUGCUCCUUUAUCUGCUCUUUUGUUUUCUCAAUGCGGUCUUAUUCUCCUGCUUGGGCAUCCAAAUUCCAUUUCCUUCAUUCAUCGUCCGCUCUCUCUGUGACGAUUN
rnacentral:lncRNA from 1 species